rnacentral:rRNA from 1 species
AGCGCUGAAAGCAUCUAAGCGCGAAGCUGGCCCCGAGAUGAGUCAUCCCUAGAGCUUCGAGCUCUCUAAAGGGUUGUUCUAGACGAGAACGUUGAUAGGCAGGGUGUGUAAGCGCUGUGAGGCGUUGAGCUAACCUGUACUAAUGGCCCGUGAGGCUUAACCAUACAACACCCAAGRGGUU